rnacentral:tRNA from 1 species
AGAAGAUUAGCUCAGUUGGUUAGAGCACUUGCCUUACAAGCACGGGGUCAUCAGUUCGAAUCUGAUAUCUUCUACCA